rnacentral:rRNA from 1 species
AUUGAACGCUGGCGGCAGGCCUAACACAUGCAAGUCGAGCGCGAAAGUCUUCGGAUGAGUAAAGCGGCGGACGGGUGAGUAAUGCAUGGGAAUCUGCCUGGUAGUGGGGGACAACGUUUCGAAAGAGACGCUAAUACCGCAUACGCCCUACGGGGAAAGGGGGGGAGCUUCGGACCUCUCGCUAUCAGAUGAGCCCAUGUCAGAUUAGCUAGUUGGGAGGGUAAAGGCCUACCAAGGCGACGAUCUGUAACUGGUCUGAGAGGAUGAUCAGUCACACUGGAACUGAGACACGGUCCAGACUCCUACGGGAGGCAGCAGUGGGGAAUAUUGGACAAUGGGGGCAACCCUGAUCCAGCCAUGCCGCGUGUGUGAAGAAGGCCCUAGGGUUGUAAAGCACUUUCAGUGGGGAGAAAGGUAAUUUACCUAAUACGUAAGUUAAUUGAUGCUACCCACAGAAGAAGCACCGGCUAACUCCGUGCCAGCCGCCGCGGUAA